rnacentral:rRNA from 1 species
AUGGCGACCCAGAUGGACGCGUACGUGAUGUUCCGCCGCGCCGCGGAGAUGAUGAUGGUGGCGCCGCCCGGGGCCGCCUACGACGAGCAGGACGAGGACAUCGGCUCCGCGUCCGACUCCGAGUGCACGUCGACGUCCUCCUCCUCCGACCUCGCCGACGACGCCAGCUCCUCGUCGUCCUCCUCCAGCUCCGGCGACCACUUCGAGAUGUCCGCCCUCAUGACGCAGCUCCCCAUCAAGAGGGGAUUGUCCAUGUUCUUCGACGGCAAGUCGCAGUCGUUCGCGUCGCUGGCGGCCGUGGCCUCCCUGGAGGAUCUGGCCAAGCCGACCAAGAAGCGCCUCAAGCCGUCGCGGAGCUGCGAGGGCGGCCUGGACGCGCACCGUGGCAGGUUCCUCUCGCCGCGCCGGCAUUGUCCCAAGGCCGCCGCCGCAAGGAAGGCGUCCGCGAGGGCCGCCCUCUCGGUGCUCGGCACCUCGCCAAGGACGGCGAGGCUGGCCGCCAACUCCCUCAUCUUUAGCUAG